GGUUCCAUAGCUCAGUUGGUUAGAGCAUACGACUGUUAAUCGUGGGGUCGCAGGUUCAAUCCCUGCUGGAACCG
rnacentral:tRNA from 1 species